rnacentral:tRNA from 1 species
AUGACGAUGUAGGGCAAUGGCCCGGCGGGCGUUUCGGCUUCCCGGUGUCGUAGACCGCGACGAUUGCAGGGUGGUUCAAUGCCGCGGCGUUUUGC